UACCCAUGGUGGGGGCAGGCAUUAAGUAGAUCCUUGAACCUCUCCCAACAUUGGUAAAAAGUUACAGUUUCUUUUUGUGCAAAAUUCAUGAUUUGUUGUUUUAAUGCA